UACGUAGGGGGCUAGCGUUGUCCGGAAUCAUUGGGCGUAAAGAGCGCGUAGGCGGCCAGAUAAGUCCGGUGUGAAAGUCCAGGGUUCAACCCUGGGAUGCCGGUCGAUACUGCCGGACUAGAGUUCGGAAGAGGCGAGUGGAAUUCCCGGUGUAGCGGUGAAAUGCGCAGAUAUCGGGAGGAACACCUAUGGCGAAGGCAGCUCGCUGGGACGUUACUGACGCUGAGACGCGAAAGCGUGGGGAGCAAACAGG
rnacentral:rRNA from 1 species